rnacentral:rRNA from 1 species
UACAGAGGUCUCAAGCGUUGUUCGGAUUCAUUGGGCGUAAAGGGUGCGUAGGCGGCGCGGUAAGUCGGGUGUGAAAUCUAGGAGCUUAACUCCGAAACUGCAUUCGAUACUGCCGUGCUUGAGGACUGGAGAGGAGACUGGAAUUUACGGUGUAGCGGUGAAAUGCGUAGAUAUCGUAAGGAAGACCAGUGGCGAAGGCGGGUCUCUGGACAGUUCCUGACGCUGAGGCACGAAGGCCAGGGGAGCAAACGGG